rnacentral:rRNA from 1 species
CCCUUAGAUGUUCUGGGCCGCACGCGCGCUACACUGACGGAGGCAGCGAGCAUGUCCUUCGCCGAGAGGUGUGGGGAAUCUUGUGAGUCUCCGUCGUGCUGGGGAUAGAUGGUUGCAAUUGUCGAUCUUGAACGAGGAAUGCCUAGUAGGCGCAAGUCAUCAGCUUGCGUCGAUUACGUCCCUGCCCUUUGUACACACCGCCCGUCGCUCCUACCGAUUGGGUGUGCUGGUGAAAUGUUCGGAUCGGCCGUUUGUCGCGGUUUCCGCGUCAUGUGGCUGAGAAGUUCAUUAAACCCUCCCACCUAGAGGAAGGAGAAGUCGUAACA